CUCCAGCAGCCUUUCAAACGUUCCUCGCAAACUGUGCAUGAGAGUUAUCGCCUCCCAGAUGGCUUCUAUGCCGGUUUUCUUGGUAUCUCCUUGCCCUUCCAACUGAUCAUCUGGAAUGCUAACGAACUUGAGUGUGCUUGCAGAGUCGGGCAUAGUCUCGCUGAUUGCUCGGAGAACUCUCGAUUGUGUUCUUCUGGUGGUGACGAACGUGACUUUGAGGCCCUGCGAGACAAGACGAGCAGCAAAGUGAAGCAUGGGAGUUAUGUGCCCCAUUACAGGUAAUGGAAACACGACGACCGUACUGCUCUCCAUUGGAGUUCUCUACACUCUUCUACUGCAGAAUGCCUACACAGAUCCACAAAUCUACUGGCGAGCAGAGUGGAUAAAUACUAGAGGCGAGCUGGCUCAGCGACAAAUCGCAUUGCCGCGGCAUCUACAGAAGCGUCUACUGUGGGUGAUCCUGUUUUAAUCUUCAUCUUCGGCAGGGAAUUGACAACUAGCCAUUCGUAUUUUUGUGUACUCAAAUCGGAUUUCCUCCAACACGCUAUGAAGAGUAAGUCAACGAUUCCCCAACGUCCGAUGUUAUCUUGAUAUGAUACUGGUUUUCGUUUUUCCAGUGUUCGUAUGGCUUUAGAACUUCACAAAGACUUGGCUUAGUAAAUUUCAUGGUGGGGACAAGUGGAACGAACCAGCAAAAGUGGCAUGUUUUCACAGCAGACAAUUCAACGUGUCAAGAGUCUAUAUAAAAUGGUAAGAGCUCCUUUGUUUUCAUUUGAGAACUUGGGAUCGAAAAUAAAGAGUUUCUUUUGUUGUGUAUUGUCCAGGUACAAACGAACAGGAGAAAAGAACAAAAAGAAAAUCGCGCUACCGCAUUUAUUUCUGCUACAACUCUAGAAGAAGAAGAAU
rnacentral:lncRNA from 1 species